UUUUUUAGGUGACCCCACUUUCAAGAAGCUAGUGCAAUGGCACAAGGCAAAUUCUUCCAAGCUUGUCCUGCGGUAGCUGUUCGAAGCUGACAAGAAUCGCUUCCAGAAGUUCAACUUGACUCUGAAUACUGAUCAUGGGGAUAUCUUACUGGAUUAUUCAAAGAACCUUGUUACAGAAGAAGUGAUGACAAUGCUGAUGGAACUGACAAAGUCAAGGGGUGUGGAAAGUGCCAGAGAUCAUAUGUUCAGUGCAGUGAAGAUCAACUUCACUGAG